rnacentral:rRNA from 1 species
UGAAACCAGCCUUGAGAUGAGGUUUCUCAUAGCAUAAGCUAGUAAGAUCCCAUGUAGACGACAUGGUUGAUAGGCCAGGUGUGGAAGAGCUGUGAGGCUUGGAGCUGACUGGUACUAAUAGAUCGAGGGCUUUACUUA